rnacentral:rRNA from 1 species
ACUCCUACGGGAGGCAGCAGUGGGGAAUAUUGCACAAUGGGCGCAAGCCUGAUGCAGCCAUGCCGCGUGUGUGAAGAAGGCCUUCGGGUUGUAAAGCACUUUCAGUCGUGAGGAAGGUGGUAGUGUUAAUAGCACUAUCAUUUGACGUUAGCGACAGAAGAAGCACCGGCUAACUCCGUGCCAGCAGCCGCGGUAAUACGGAGGGUGCGAGCGUUAAUCGGAAUUACUGGGCGUAAAGCGUGCGUAGGCGGCCAUUUAAGUCAAAUGUGAAAUCCCGCAGCUACUUAGGAUUGGCAAUUGCUGAUACUGGAUGGCUAGAGUAUGGGAGAGGAUGGUAGAAUUCCAGGUGUAGCGGUGAAAUGCGUAGAGAUCUGGAGGAAUACCGAUGGCGAAGGCAGCCAUCUGGCCUAAUACUGACGCUGAGGUACGAAAGCAUGGGGAGCAAACAGGAUUAGAUACCCUGGUAGGCUCUG